UAAACGACUCUCGGCAACGGAUAUCUCGGCUCAUGCAUCGAUGAAGAACGNAGCAAAAUGCGAUACUUGGUGUGAAUUGCAGAAUCCCGUGAACCAUCGAGUUUUUGAACGCAAGUUGCGCCCGAAGCCUUCUGGUUGAGGGCACGUCUGCCUGGGCGUCACGC
rnacentral:rRNA from 1 species